GGGCCUGUGGUGAAACGGUAUCACACUCGCUUGGCGUGCGGGAAUCUCCGGGUUCAAAGAACCUUUUUGCUCAUCGCGAAUUCGCGUUGCGACGCUCGUUCGCUCUUCGCAAAAAGCUUCACCAAAAGCGGAACUGCCGCAUUUGGCGAAAAAAUUUGAAAAUCCCGGCAGGUCCA
rnacentral:tRNA from 1 species